rnacentral:rRNA from 1 species
GACAGAGGCCUCAAGCGUUAGGCGGAAUCACUGGGCUUAAAGCGUGUGUAGGCGGGUCGUUAAGUACCUUGUGAAAUCCCACGGCUCAACCGUGGAACUGCUUGGUAUACUGCUUGUCUUGGGCCAGCUAGGGGUUACCGGAACAAACGGUGGAGCGGUGAAAUGCGCAGAUAUCAGGAGGAACACCGGUGGCGAAGGCGGUUCUCUGGGCCUUACCUGACGCUGAGGAGCGAAAGCGUGGGGAGCGAACAGG